rnacentral:rRNA from 1 species
GUAGGUGGCAAGCGUUGUCCGGAAUUAUUGGGGCGUAAAGCGCGCGCAGGCGGUCCUUUAAGGUCUGAUGUGAAAGCCCACGGGCUCAACCGUGGAGGGUCAUUGGAAACUGGGGGACUUGAGUACAGAAGAGGAAAGCGGAAUUCCACGUGUAGCGGUGAAAUGCGUAGAGAUGUGGAGGAACACCAGUGGCGAAGGCGGCUUUCUGGUCUGUAACUGACGCUGAGGCGCGAAAGCGUGGGGAGCAAACAGGAUUAGAUACCCUGGUAGUCCACGCCGUAAACGAUGAGUGCUAAGUGUUAGGGGGUUUCCGCCCCUUAGUGCUGCAGCUAACGCAUUAAGCACUCCGCCUGGGGAGUAUGGCCGCAAAGGCUG